rnacentral:misc_RNA from 1 species
AAGUCGUAACAAGGUAGCCGUAUCGGAAGGUGCGGCUGGAUCACCUCCUUUCUAAGGAGUAAUUGCCUACUGUUUAAUUUUGAGAGCUUAUUGUUCUCAAAAUUAGUACUUAAUUGUACUUAGUACUUUGAAAACUGCAUAACAUUUAGUGAUGAUUAAAUAAACCAAUAUAAGAGAAGAAAACUCUUCAAAAAAUAACACUUUUAAUAACUGGUCAAGUUAUUAAGGGCGCAGGGCGGAUGCCUUGGUACUAAGAGCCGAUGAAGGACGCGAUAAGCUGCGAUAAGCUUCGGGGAGUUGCACGUAAACUUUGAUCCGAAGAUUUCCGAAUGGGGAAACCCA